CCUACGGGUGGCAGCAGUGGGGAAUAUUGCACAAUGGGGGAAACCCUGAUGCAGCGACGCCGCGUGAGUGAAGAAGUAUCUCGGUAUGUAAAGCUCUAUCAGCAGGGAAGAAAAUGACGGUACCUGAUUAAGAAGCCCCGGCUAACUACGUGCCAGCAGCCGCGGUAAUACGUAGGGGGCAAGCGUUAUCCGGAUUUACUGGGUGUAAGGGGAGUGUAGACGGCAGCACAAGUCUGGAGUGAAAUGCCGGGGCUGAACCCCGGAACUGCUUUGGAAACUGUGCAGCUAGAGUGCAGGAGAGGGAAGUGGAAUUCCUAGUGUAGCGGUGAAAUGCGUAGAUAUUAGGAGGAACACCAGUGGCGAAGGCGGCUUACUGGACUGUAACUGACGUUGAGGCUCGAAAGCGUGGGGAGCAAACAGGAUUAGAUACCCCAGUAGUC
rnacentral:rRNA from 1 species